UCUUGCUUGAUCCGAAGGCCUAGAUCCUCU
rnacentral:piRNA from 1 species